UGCUAAUGCCACCGAUUGCCAGAUAUUUGAGGGUGUUUCAAGAUUACUUGGAGAAAAUUUUUCUACAUGUGUUCACGAAAUUGAGGACAUCAACGCAGUCGGGACAAUAGCAGAUAAUUUUCCUUUGAUUGUUGUUACUAAUCGCGGUGGUGACGACGAGCUGUUUUUUUAUUUAUGCCGAAGAGACGUUACUGACUUCAGGCGCAGAUAAUAUUGUUUGUGCAUUUCAACAACUUAUUUCAACAUAUUUUGUGUAUUUUUAUAAAUACCCAAAACAAAUAUCAAAAACGUUGGAAUUUUUCCAACGUUUUCUGCUGAAAUUGCAACCCGACACAGGCACACGAUCGACUGCCACUAUUGUUGGCGGCCAACAACGGAUGGUGGCGUCGUUGUUGGCAAAGAUAUCCAAAUUAGAUUGGCAAAGACAAUUGAGCGAAAACGUGCCCUAAGUUCGAUUUGAACAUCAUCGAUUAAAGAAAACAAAUGAACAAACAGUGUGGCUUCAAAUUCUCCAGAGUUCUACACUAGACAUGUUAUCAGAGGACAAGAGACACGUGUGAAGCACCUUCGCUAAUCUUUUCGAGAAAAAUGUAUCGUUCCAAAAAGGAUAGAAAUCAGCAUCGGAAUCAACGAGACAAUUUUUUGUAAGUCCUUAAGUAAGAUAAUGUAUUGUUGUGUUUGAUGUGCAUUAUGUGAUGUGAAACCUUUGUUAAUUAGAGUUCACUUUUCAUUAUUUAGAAUCAGCAUCGAUUCUGCAUUUCUAUCGCUCAAGCAAACUUUUUUUCUGAGAAAGGCUACCUAAUUUUGUUUUGGAAUCAGGUGCUAAAAACAUUUGAAAAAGAAAAGGGUGGAAAUAAAUUCGUAACAUAUCUUUUAAAGGCAGCCGAUCUCAAAAAAUAGCUAUAAUCAUAUAAAAAUACUUGGAGCUUCAAUUUAACUAAAUGCUUUUUCUCUAGCUAUAGUCUGGGGUCAUUUGGGCAAGGGCGCUUGCUGUUAUAACUCAGUCAAUUUUGAAACCAAUCAGCUUGAUUUUGGGACCCGAGGGGAUACGUACAAUAUCGUAUCAUGUACCGUCAUAUCACCUAAUUCCAAUCACUUUUUUUGUUCCUAAUCCCGUUCACACUAUGCAAAACAAAUGGGGUGAACGGAAUUAGGGACCGAAAAAAGUUAUUGGAAUAAGGUGAUGUCACGGUAUAAAAAUUCAAGUCAAUUGGUUUGAAAUUGACUGAGUUGUAGCCAAAAGUGUCCAAAAUAGCCCCGCCCCGCCCAAAUGGUACAAUACAGUAGGUAAUUGAGAAUACAGAAAUGUAGAUGUAGAUAUGUUGUAGUCAGGGUUGUAACUAAUGUGCUUAUGUAUUUAUUUUAUUUUUUCCAUAGA